rnacentral:snRNA from 1 species
UCACCCACCAAUAGGGAAC